rnacentral:misc_RNA from 1 species
GAUGAAGAACGCAGCGAAAUGCGAUAAGUAAUGUGAAUUGCGGAAUUCAGUGAAUCAUCGAAUCUUUGAACGCACAUUGCGCCCGCCAGUAUUCUGGCGGGCAUGCCUGUUCGAGCGUCAUUACAACCCUCAGGCCCCCGGGCCUGGCGUUGGGGAUCGGCGGAGCCCCCCGUGGGCACACGCCGUCCCCCAAAUACAGUGGCGGUCCCGCCGCAGCUUCCAUCGCGUAGUAGCUAACACCUCGCGACUGGAGAGCGGCGCGGCCACGCCGUAAAACACCCAACUCUUCUGAAGUUGACCUCGAAUCAGGUAGGAAUACCCGCUGAACUUAAGCAUAUCAAUAAGCGGAGGA